GAGUUUGAUCCUGGCUCAGGACGAACGCUGGCGGCGUGCCUAACACAUGCAAGUCGAACGGAGAACUUCAAAGAGUUUACUCAGAGAAGUUUUUAGUGGCGGACGGGUGAGUAACGCGUGGGUAACCUACCCAUAAAUCCGGGACAACCCUUGGAAACGAGGGCUAAUACCGGAUAAUCUUCACCAGUGGCAUCACUAGUGAAGGAAAGGUGGCCUCUGUAUAUGCUACCGAUUAUGGAUGGACCCGCGUCUGAUUAGCUAGUUGGUGGGGUAAAGGCCUACCAAGGCGACGAUCAGUAGCCGGCCUGAGAGGGUGAACGGCCACACUGGGACUGAGACACGGCCCAGACUCCUACGGGAGGCAGCAGUGGGGAAUCUUCCGCAAUGGACGAAAGUCUGACGGAGCAACGCCGCGUGUAUGAUGAAGGUCUUCGGAUUGUAAAGUACUGUCUUUGGGGAAGAAUGGUGUGCUUGAAAAUAUUGAGCAUAUAUGACGGUACCCAAGGAGGAAGCCCCGGCUAACUACGUGCCAGCAGCCGCGGUAAUACGUAGGGGGCAAGCGUUGUCCGGAAUUAUUGGGCGUAAAGGGCGCGUAGGCGGAUAGUUAAGUCCGGUGUGAAAGAUCAGGGCUCAACCCUGAGAGUGCAUCGGAAACUGGUUAUCUUGAGGACAGGAGAGGAAAGUGGAAUUCCUCGUGUAGCGGUGAAAUGCGUAGAUAUGUGGAGGAACACCAGUGGCGAAGGCGACUUUCUGGACUGUAACUGACGCUGAGGCGCGAAAGCGUGGGGAGCAAACAGGAUUAGAUACCCUGGUAGUCCACGCUGUAAACGAUGAGUGCUAGGUGUAGA
rnacentral:rRNA from 1 species